GAUGAACGCUGGCGGCGUGCCUAAUACAUGCAAGUCGAGCGAACAGACGAGGAGCUUGCUCCUUCGACGUUAGCGGCGGACGGGUGAGUAACACGUAGGUAACCUACCUAUAAGACUGGGAUAACUUCGGGAAACCGGAGCUAAUACCGGAUAAUAUUUCGAACCGCAUGGUUCGAUAGUGAAAGAUGGCUUUGCUAUCACUUAUAGAUGGACCUGCGCCGUAUUAGCUAGUUGGUAAGGUAACGGCUUACCAAGGCAACGAUACGUAGCCGACCUGAGAGGGUGAACGGCCACACUGGAACUGAGACACGGUCCAGACUCCUACGGGAGGCAGCAGUUGGGAAUCUUCCGCAAUGGGCGAAAGCCUGACGGAGCAACGCCGCGUGAGUGAUGAAGGUCUUCGGAUCGUAAAACUCUGUUAUUAGGGAAGAACAAACGUGUAAGUAACUGUGCACGUCUUGACGGUACCUAAUCAGAAAGCCACGGCUAACUACGUG
rnacentral:rRNA from 1 species